GAAGCAGAGGGGACGAUGAGGUGCGGAGGCGUUGGCAGUUGACUUUUGCUGAUGGAGCCUCUCUGAAGGGCAAAUUCAAAGUACAGCUGGGUGCUGCAGCACUGGAGUGCGAACUUGUGGCUGUGGUUAUGAAGGAGCCUCGUCAGCUAUGCCUUUAGCCCCUGGUGAAGCAGUGCCAGUCACACUUUGCCAGUCAAACGGAGAGGCAGCAGUAGUAAGACCAGACCAAAUCAAACCAAACCAAGCAAACCACGGGGAAUGGAGGAUAUAUUUGGCAUUAAACUCGGGACAAAAGAAGACACAAACUUUAUCUUGUGGUUUGGGUCCUCCAAUCCUCAUAAAAGUGUGGUUUCACCUGUUACCUCAUAAAGGUGCCAUUGCUGUAUGCACAUCUGAAUCUGUUUACAAUUUGAGAAUAGAGAUUAUUGCCUGCUCCUCCAAGCCCUUCACUGUAGAAUGGAAGCCUGUGAUUUUCCUGGCAUCAUGCAUGACUGAGAAGGUCAGUGUGGCUAAUUCUGAGCUUCAACAUCAGGAAACCCGUAGUUCUUCACACUGAGCCGCCUCCUGCAGCACAGUCAUCCUUGGUAAUAAAGCUGAUAUUUUAAUCAAUA